CUUUAUUAUUAUUAAACUAAAGUUCUCAUCAAAACAUUUACCAAUUUUUUUGCCUUUGGUAUAUUACCUCAUUUAAAAUCGCGGAAGCAUUUUGAAAACUUUGUUGUUGGAAGCUCGUGUUUCUCAGAAAAAUCAUGCCAUUUUGAAAAUCUCGAGUUUUCGUAGACUAGCAGUUUAGUAUAAGAAAUCACAAUCCAAAUUAAAACUUAAAACCCACCUACGGCCUUAUUACAUAAUUUAAAAACCCAAAACGAAAUCUAAUUGCAAUUAAAAGAAACAGAAACAGUAGUAUGGCCAUCUCCGAGUCCCCCGCAGCUCAACCAUCUAAGCUUAGGGAUUACCUGCACAGUUAGAAACGGGGUGAGUUUACGAAAACUCAGUGUGUAAUCCCAAAAACAAAUAAACAGUGAAUAACACGCUAUCAGUACAAUCUGGGCCAAAGCCCUAUUCAUUCUCGACAUAUACUUGGCCGAAGCCUUUCGUUUAACGGUUACUUGGCUGAAGCCUUUUCAUAAAUCAUAUCACUGGGCUGAAGCCUUUACUGUAAACGAUAUGGCCCAUAGGCCCAUUUCACUAUCACAUGAAAUACCAAUGAAUGUAUGCAAGCCCAUUUGGGGAGACUACUCAACCCACCAUCCGCUACUCUCCACCGGUACCAACCAAGUUUUCCAUGUGGGGAAUAACUCAACCCACCCAACCAAACUCUCCACUGGCAGCAUAGCUACUUUAUCAUAUAACUGGAGGCCUAGCCUCUUUUAAUAAUUGGGGCAAAGCCCUUUUUGAUAAACUGGGGCAAAGCCCUUUUCGGUAAACUGGAGCAUAGCCCUUUUAGAAUUUUCUCCAUUUAUAAAACCCACCCCAUGGAACAUGUCAUGUAUGUAGAAUGUCAUGCCCAUAUUUGAAUCAAACAAUCACAGUCAAGUCAUUCAUAUCACCAAUAUAUAUUCACAAUCAAAUCCGUCAACCACACAGUCCAAGUAGGUCACUUGCCCACAAGGGCAAAAUAGUCAUUUAACACCCUAGGGGCAAAAUGGUAAUUAUUAUCCCACAAGUGUAUCUCGGUAAUUCUACCCUACAGCGGUAUUCCAGUAUUUCUACCCUACAGGGGUAUUUUGGUAAUUCUACCCUACAGGGGUAUUUCGGUAAUUCUACCCAACAGGGGUAUUUUGAUAUUUUACAAAUUGAGAGUAUUUCGAUAAUUUCACAAAUCAGGAGUAUUUUGGUAAUUUUACAAGCCAUGGGUAUUUUGGUAAUUUUACAAACCAGGGGUAUUUUAGUAAUUUUACAAAUCAGGGGUAUUUUGGUAAUUUUACUGAUCGAGGGUAUUUUAGUAAUUUUGUAAACCAAGGGUAUUUUAGUAAUUUUGUAAAUCGAGGGUAAAACGAUAAUUCUGUAAAUCGAGGGUAAAACGAUAAUUCUAUAAAUCGAGGGUAAAAUGGUAAUUCUAUAAAUCGAGGGUAAAAUGGUAAUUCUAUAAAUUGAGGGUAAAACAGUAAUUCUAUAAAUCUAAGGUAAAACGGUAAUUCUAUAAAUCUAGGGUAAAAUGGUAAUUCUGUAAAUCGAGGGUAAAAUGGUAAUUCUAUAAAUCGAGGGUAAAACGGUAAUUCUUUAAAUCGAGGGUAAAAUGGUAAUUCUGUAAAUCGAGGGUAAAACGGUAAUUUUAUAAAUUGAGGGUAAAAUGGUAAUUCUAUAAAUCGAGGGUAAAACGAUAAUUCUGUAUAUCGAGGGUAAAACGGUAAUUUUACAAAUUGAGGGCAUUUCAGUAAUUUGGUAAACUAAAGUAUUCUAAACAAGGAUAACAUUACGAAUAGGCCUAAAGCCUAUUCUCGGCCCAAAUGGGCCCACACGCUCGUGUGGCCCUUUUAGCCCAAAUUUAGCCACAGAUAUGAAAUUCACCUAGCCUAGUCCAAUAUUUACUACACAAUUAAACAACUUAUCCAAUUAGGCCCGUAGGCCCAUUGGGCCUACAUGACCCCUUUCGGCCCAUCGCGGGCCGAAGUAGCUAUCCUAUAGCUAUAGUAGUGAGAAAUACACACCUGAUUGGCGACUGGAGUUAAUUCACGCUCCGAGCACUCUUAGCCGACGCCCAACCCAAACGAGCACGCCAUAAAGCGAAAGGGACUAGCUAAGAAAGG
rnacentral:lncRNA from 1 species